AAUAGAUACCCGGGUAGUCCACGCCGUAAACGAUGUCGACUUGGAGGUUGUGCCCUUGAGGCGUGGCUUCCGGAGCUAACGCGUUAAGUCGACCGCCUGGGGAGUACGGCCGCAAGGUUAAAACUCAAAUGAAUUGACGGGGGCCCGCACAAGCGGUGGAGCAUGUGGUUUAAUUCGAUGCAGCGCGAAGAACCUUACCUACUCUUGACAUCCAGAGAACUUAGCAGAGAUGCUUUGGUGCCUUCGGGAACUCUGAGACAGGUGCUGCAUGGCUGUCGUCAGCUCGUGUUGUGAAAUGUUGGGUUAAGUCCCGCAACGAGCGCAACCCUUAUCCUUUGUUGCCAGCGGUUAGGCCGGGAACUCAAAGGAGACUGCCAGUGAUAAACUGGAGGAAGGUGGGGAUGACGUCAAGUCAUCAUGGCCCUUACGAGUAGGGCUACACACGUGCUACAAUGGCAUAUACAAAGAGAAGCGACCUCGCGAGAGCAAGCGGACCUCAUAAAGUAUGUCGUAGUCCGGA
rnacentral:rRNA from 1 species